AUUAAUGAAUCUUUCAAGUAAUCAUUGCAAACUAUAACGAAACUACCCUCCGGAAUCGAGAUGAGUGUUCAUGUUUUAACAACUGGUUACUGGCCAACAUAUCCACCAAUGGAUGUCCGCCUUCUCCAUGAAUUGAAUGUUUAUCAGGAUAUAUUUAAAGAGUUCUACUUGAGCAAAUAUAGCGGUAGGCGAUUAAUGUGGCAGAAUUCAUUAGGUCACUGCGUCUUGAAAACAGAAUUUGCAAAGGGAAAGAAAGAACUGGAUGUUUCCUUAUUUCAGUAACACAAUGGGAGUGGAAUGUUUCGUUGUAAGAAACAAGCGUAUCGAGGAGAAGAUCGUGAAGGUCAACAAAAGCCAUUCCCGUGGGAAGCACAACAGUCAACGCCGUUAGUACAUUCAUUUUAACUUUAAAAGUGUCGCAACGUGCUGAAAUUUAAUAAAUUACAAAAAAGAAGAACGUGUCUGGUGGAUCAACUAGUUCAAUUUCCGAUCUGCUUUUGAGACGAUGUAUUACCCUUUAUUUCUUUGCAAAAGAAGGGGAUGACUGUAACAUGACUGUGACUAAAGAAGACAAGCAUUUACUGAUCAAAGUGAACUUCGAACGAGGUUUGGGACAUAAAUUCAGACCAGAAUCCGGAACAUGUAUCGACCUCUCAACAUUAGAGGAAUAAGAACUUAUAAAUGUUAGUAAUAGGUCAUGUUGCAGCGUAAUAGGUUUUUAAUAGUUCAAAUCACCUAACGGGUCAGAUUGCAUCUGGGAGAAUCAAAUUAGAGGUUUGUACACGUCGCAUUGUGUGGGCCUACAGGUUAAGUGGUCUGAUCUAUGGCCGAUUUUGGAAUGCCCGCCUCCCUUACCGGCAUCGACCUCAAAGACGGUAGUUGUAGUUCGUGAAGAAGGGCGGUGGCGGCUAUAGGGCUUCAACAACAACCACAUCCGCAGUGGCGGCGAACAUUCAUGAUGAUUGUGGUUUACAACGCUGGUGGUGGUAAGGACGUAGCUGGUGACAAUCGCAAUGGAAACGGGUCACGGCUACGGUUUUCUGACGCUAUUCCGGUAACCAUGUUAGCUUUUCAUGUUUUCCUUGGCCGGAGCUUCAUUUGUUGCAUACUCCAGCUACUUUUCUUGCAUACUCCAAUUUAUUACAACAUAGGUGACGAUUGUUGAGCGGUUGGAGUCCUUUCUAGCUAGCCACGGGUUUAAGAUACAGUCGUUGCUGCAAGAGUGGUUGUCCCCUCUCCAUUUUAAUGAGUGGGCCUACAGAUUAAGUGGUCUAAUCUAUUGCUGAUUUUGGAAUGCAUACACAUUUCCUUUGUGCGACCCGAUAUUUUAAUAAGUGGUCGAUUUGGGCUAAAAUUUAUCCCACGUGAGCGAUAAAAGAUUUAGCUAGCCAUAUAGAGAACGGGUCGAAUAGCUCAUGUAUUCGCACAAACUUGGUAUUGCAAGGUCGGAUCAAAAUGUGAAAUAAGGUGAAGGGUAGCUGGGGAAUUGGAGAACAAAACAGAUAAUCCACACUUACUUAAUUCUUUUGAUAUCCGUUUGUGUAGAUUAGUUACUUAUUUUGUCAAUAGA